AUAGGAAGAUAAAAGGCAUCUUUUAUCUCUUAAAAGACCUAGUAAUAGGUAUGCUUUAGGAGGGGCUUGCGCCAUAUUAGUUAGUUGGUAGGGUAAUGGCCUACCAAGACGAUGAUGUGUAGCUGGACUGAGAGGUUGAACAGCCACAUUGGGACUGAGACACGGCCCAAACUCCUACGGGAGGCAGCAGUAGGGAAUUUUCGGCAAUGGAGGAAACUCUGACCGAGCAACGCCGCGUGAAUGACGAAGUACUUCGGUAUGUAAAGUUCUUUUAUCAAGGAAGAAAAGCAAAUGGCGAACCAUUUGUUUGCCGGUACUUGAUGAAUAAGCCCCGGCUAAUUAUGUGCCAGCAGCCGCGGUAAGACAUAAGGGGCAAGUGUUAUCCGGAAUUAUUGGGCGUAAAGGGUGCGUAGGCGGUCUAGUAAGUCAGUGGUGUAAUGGCAACGCUUAACGUUGUCCGGCUAUUGAAACUGCUAAACUUGAGUUAGAUAGAGGCGAGUGGAAUUCCAUGUGUAGCGGUAAAAUGCGUAAAUAUAUGGAGGAACACCAGAGGCGUAGGCGGCUCGCUGGGUCUUAACUGACGCUGAGGCACGAAAGCGUGGGGAGCAAACAGGAUUAGAUACCCUGGUAGUCCACGCCGUAAACGAUGAGUACUAAGUGUCGGGUUAAACCGGUACUGAAGUUAACACAUUAAGUACUCCGCCUGAGUAGUACGUACGCAAGUAUGAAACUUAAAGGAAUUGACGGGACUCCGCACAAGCGGUGGAUCAUGUUGUUUAAUUCGAAGAUACCCGAAAAACCUUACCAGGUCUUGACAUGUUUUUGCAAAAUGAUAGUAAUAUCGUGGAGGUUACCAGAAACACAGGUGGUGCAUGGUUGUCGUCAGCUCGUGUCGUGAGAUGUUAGGUUAAGUCCUAAAACGAGCGAAACCCUUAUCGUUAGUUGCCAGCACGUUAUGGUGGGGACUUUAACGAGACUGCCAAUGAUAAAUUGGAGGAAGGUGAGGAUCACGUCAAAUCAGCAUGCCCCUUAUGACCUGGGCUACAAACGUGAUACAAUGGCUGUUACAAAGGGUAGCUGAAACGCAAGUUCUUGGCCAAUCCCCAAAAACAGUCCCAGUCCGGAUUGAAGUCUGCAACUCGACUUCAUGAAGUUGGAAUCGCUAGUAAUCGCGAAUCAGCAUGUCGCGGUGAAUACGUUCU
rnacentral:rRNA from 1 species